UUAAAACAGCAUUGCUUCAUCUCUCUUGAGGAAAACUAAUCCUGAUGUUCUGGUGCUUUUUUUUCUCCCCUCUCUCCUUUUCCCUUAUGUAUUCAUUCUAAGGUAAACUAUGGAGGAGGCUGCGCCCUUGUUCCAGGGCGCAUGGCGGUGGGACUGUUCGUCUUACCGGAGAUCUGAGUCACAGGAGCGGUGUUGGUGCUGUACCCCUUCUCCGAGUACACCUGCCGGGUGUCAGCGCAGCUUCUCCCCGCAGCACCGGCGGGGCUCCGGUUCCCCGACAGGGCAGCGACGGCGCAGAGCCAAACCAGCAGCCGCGUCUCCAUCCUCAUCGCGGGACUCCACAUGAAAAGAGGCGACCCCCGCGGCAGACGGGUGGGUGGGUGGGUUCACAGAAGAGCGGAGAGAUGCGCGCAAAAGUGGAAACUAUGAACGGGAUCCAAAAUCAUUAGCCUUAGAAAGUAGUCAUUGUGUUCCCGAUCAACAUCCGGUCUGGGUUUUUGUUUCUACAUCACUUGUUUCCAUGGUGUUCCCCUGUAUCUUCUUUUUUUUUCCCUUCCUGGGAUACCCGCUGCUGCGCGUAAACACAGGAGGAGAAUGAAUGAGGAACUCCUCGCCCGACUUUACCAUAAUCUGACGCGCCACCUGUCAAACCCACAACAUUUCACCAUAGCCACGCCGGAAAAGGGAUUCCCUUCAAAAUAAACUCGAACAGGACUUUAGAUCUUUAAAGCUUCUGUUACU